UGGUAUGAGGGUGAUCUGGCUGCCACGGCUGCCACCCCUUUGAUGGACAGGGUUGACUCGAUUGAUCUCCUGGCUAGGCGGGUGGCCUCCCUCCCUCAUCAUUCUAGGUACAGGUUCAUUCCUCUGCAGCUGCAAAAGGGUUUGGAGAGGACAAUAUUUCCCAAGAGGGAAGUCUAUUCUUCAACCAAGAGUUCAGGCAAGCUUAUAGAAACUUUGGUAAAGUGGACACAUCCUCCCAGGGGUUAGAAAACAUGGUUUCUAUCGUCUUUUCCAACAAAAAAUGUGUAUGAACAAGAUAGAUAGUUCAUACUCUUCAUUCUCU
rfam:Equus caballus chromosome 20, whole genome shotgun sequence.